rnacentral:rRNA from 1 species
UACGGGGGGAGCAAGCGUUGUUCGGAUUUACUGGGCGUAAAGGGCGCGUAGGCGGCGUGACUAGUCACUUGUGAAAUCUCCGGGCUUAACUCGGAACGGUCAAGUGAUACUGUCGUGCUAGAGUACAGAAGGGGCAACUGGAAUUCUCGGUGUAGCGGUGAAAUGCGUAGAUAUCGAGAGGAACACCGGUGGCGAAGGCGGGUCUCUGGACAGUUCCUGACACUGAGGCACGAAGGCCAGGGGAGCAAACGGG